rnacentral:misc_RNA from 1 species
GAUGAAGAACGUAGCGAAACGCGAAAGGUAAUGCGAAUUGCAGAAUUCAGUGAAUCAUCGAAUCUUUGAACGCACAUUGCGCCCGCCAGUAUUCUGGCGGGCAUGCCUGUUCGAGCGUCAUUUCAACCAUCAAGCCCCCGGCUUGUGUUGGGGACCUGCGGCUGCCGCAGGCCCUGAAAAGCAGUGGCGGGCUCGCUGUCACACCGAGCGUAGUAGAUUUCAUCUCGCUCAGGGCGUGCUGCGGGUUCCGGCCGUUAAACCACCUUCAUAACCCAAGGUUGACCUCGGAUCAGGUAGGAAGACCCGCUGAACUUAAGCAUAUCAAUAAGCGGAGA